rnacentral:lncRNA from 1 species
AGCAAAUCAGAUCCGAUAAGAGGUCUGUUCUUCCUGUAUCGCUUAAAAAUGGCAGAAACAGCUAAACAGGACAGAAAUGGAUCACAGAAGCAGACGUCUGGGAAGAUCAGAAGAAACAGAAUGGUCCUCCACAGCUGCUUUGGUUAUGUGAGGAGACACUAAGCCAGAGAUGAAUCAUUGAGGAACGUAAGACAAACAAGUGGGUGAGAUAACAUUUCACCUCACCUGUCUAAUCCUAAUGAAACCCGACGCGUGUUCUGAUGAGAGCAUCACCGUCAGGAGGCUCGGCGGUGCUGGAGGAGUGGAUACAGGUGGAGCAGGGCAUCACGCUGAAGGUGUGGUCAUAUGGCUCCAGCCCCAGUGAUGUGCCUGGAUCAGCAGCCUACAGCGCGCCUGAGGGCACUGAAUGCCUGGAGGAGGUAUGAGCUGAACAACAAGUAAAUUAAAGAUAGGAUGAAUGCCACUCUACAAAGGCCGUAGUGUGUGAGUGUGUGUGUUGGGGGGGAGGGGUCCUUAUGUGAGCAUCUGCAUCACCAAACAAAAGCACCUUGACUUCUGAUGUACCUGUUCUCCUCCCUUAAACUGUCCUGCGUAUCGUCCUGGUGUAUCAAAGCUCCACGUUUGAUACCCCAUCAAAAACCCUUACAAAACACAACCUGUCUUCUUUUCCUCUUCUCUUCUUCACAGGAACACCACCUUCAAACACAUGCAGGGUGCGGGAAGGAAGGACGAGGAGAGUGGAACCAAAUGCGAGGGUUUUUAUUAAACAAACAACAAAAGACAAAAAUAAACAAGUAAACUGGAACUAAACUGAAAACAAGAAACACGGGGGAGAGAGACGCAACCAUAACAGGCUAACAAAGCACAAGAACCGACACGAGGGAAAGGGAGCACGGACUAUAAAUAAUGGAACACACACACGGGAAACAGAAAACACCUGGGGCUAAGGGGCGGAGUCACAAAUGAGCACAGGUGAGGGCAAGAAACACUGAGGAACACGGAUCACGUGGGAGACACACUCACAGGUACAAGCAGAGACAGGCACAGAAAAGGUAAAUAAACACAGAAACACAGAACA